rnacentral:rRNA from 1 species
UGAUGCGAUUUCGGUCAAUCAUGUGGCAUUCGAGUGGCGGACGGGUGAGUAACGCGUGGGUAACCUGCCUUACGCAGGGGGAUAACACCUGGAAACAGGUGCUAAUACCGCAUAAGCGCACAGGGCCGCAUGGCCCGGUGUGAAAAACUCCGGUGGUGUAAGAUGGACCCGCGUCUGAUUAGCUUGUUGGCGGGGUAGGGGCCCACCAAGGCGACGAUCAGUAGCCGGCCUGAGAGGGUGGACGGCCACAUUGGACUGAGACACGGCCCAAACUCCUACGGGAGGCAGCAGUGGGGGAUAUUGGACAAUGGGGGAAACCCUGAUCCAGCGACGCCGCGUGAGUGAAGAAGUAUUUCGGUAUGUAAAGCUCUGUCAGCAGGGAAGAAAGAAAUGACGGUACCUGACCAAGAAGCCCCGGCUAACUACGUGCCGGCAGCCGCGGUAAUACGUAGGGGGCAAGCGUUAUCCGGAAUUACUGGGUGUAAAGGGAGCGUAGACGGUGAUGCAAGUCUGGAGUGAAAGGCGGGGGCCCAACCCCCGGACUGCUCUGGAAACUGUGUAACUUGAGUGCAGGAGAGGUAAGCGGAAUUCCUAGUGUAGCGGUGAAAUGCGUAGAUAUUAGGAGGAACACCAGUGGCGAAGGCGGCUUACUGGACUGUAACUGACGUUGAGGCUCGAAAGCGUGGGGAGCAAACAGGAUUAGAUACCCUGGUAGUCCACGCCGUAAACGAUGAUUACUAGGUGUCGGUGGGUAU